rnacentral:lncRNA from 1 species
GUUUUUUUUUUUGUUUGUUUAAGGAAUCUUAUGAAAGGUUUUUUUUCCAUCAAUAAUGUCAGCAAGUUUUCCUUUCACGUGUUUUAUUGCAUAUAAUAGAAUUAUUGACCCGCCAUUUUGUAUCUGUUUAGGAAUUUAACGAAGUAGAAAGAGAGACUUAAACUAUGAAGCCAACUCGUGAGAGACAUCUCAUGUCAUCUCACAGCAGCGACAAGGAGAAGAUUCGUCUUAUCCAUUUGCUUAGCAGCCUUGGGAUCUCUUAAUUAUCAUUUAUAAGGAGGUUCAAGAGAUCCUUAACCACAGAUUCAAAAACUUGGAUGACAUGAUAGUCAGGGAAGAUGAUCUAAAAACAAUUUCCAUCAAUUUCCAAAAUAUCUUGUGGUAAGAAUAUCAGUUUCCUUUGAUCCAUGCAGCAUAUUCAUAAAAUACGAAUGGGGAUUGAGAGAUCUCGAAAAUCUUCGAAAUCUCGAGAUCGAAGGAGGGAACGAGGACAUUGAAUCGUUUCCAGAGGAAGGGUUACUGCCAAAUUAAAGGUCUUUUUUCUCUGCGGAUAAGCCGUUUCGAGAACCUCAGGGCUUUGAAUCACAAAGGGUUUCAGGAUACAAAGGCUCUUGAGACGAUGGAGAUCAACGGCUAUGAUAAGCUACGGAUAUCGAUAGAUGAAGAUCUUCCUCCUUCCUUGUCUUGCCUUCGAAUCAGUUCAUGCCCAUUGUUGACGGAAGUAGAAACAGUAUUCUUAAGCAUUCCAUAUGUGGAAAUUGACGGCGAGAUCUUCUCUUGAGGGACAAUUUAUUAUAUUUAAAUCACACUUUCUACACACUAGAUACCUUACUUGAUGCACACGACAUUGUAAUUUAGCUUUUUUUCAGAGAUCUCCAACAUUUGACAUCUUUUUCUUCUAUUCUAUCUCAAAAUAAUGAUCUUUUCUAACCUUGAGAAAAAGGUGAACAAACAAUAAAUGAACCUGUGAAAAGCUCAACAACUUUCAAAAGCAAAUGCUUCAAAAAUCCCUUACAGAAAGAUGAUGAAACAGUUGGAAGUAUCUCAGUCGAAAAGACAGAACCUAACAAGACCUCCAAAAUUCAGAAGCAGGAUCAUGGUGUUUCCAGCUACUAACAUAAGUGGAGAUAAUUGUUCUAAAACUUUGAAGAUAAAGAAAACUCCAAAAAAGAAAAGAAAGAAAAAAAAUCUACUGCAGGAAAUGAAAUGUUUGCAAUCAUCUCUCUUCUAGACAGACAAGCUUAGUCAGGUCUCUUUUCUAGUUUGUCGAUGGUGGUCGAGUGAUUCGUGGCCUUACUGGUGUCUUUGAUGGACUUACCCUAGAAAAAGAAAAGAAAUAGAGCCAAAUGUUGAUCCAACUGAGAUAUUCACAUUACAAAAAAAAAAAAAAAAAAAAAAACACAGCAUUGCAUCGAUGAAACUUUACCGUAUCGGUUGGGAUCCAACGACCAUCCCGCUGCAAUUGAGCGCCCUAAGUGCACUAUCUGCCUGUUCGUGUGAAAAGAAAAAGAAAUAUGAGUUUCUCAAUUUGUCAAAUUAUAUAUUUUAUCAUCUCCUUAAUCAAACUUCUAGUCAUCAGUAAAAAGAGCCAAAAAAGUGAGUAUGGGGAAUAUAGACUUGCAAUCUAUAAUAGAUGAAGAGCUCACCAGAGCAAAUUCAACAAAAGCUAUGCGAGUAGAAUGCAGUUGAUCGCCAAGAAGCCUCAGGCGAGUUACCUGCGUAUAUUAGAAACCAACUUAAGCACCAUUCCUUAAAAAGGAAAUAUUUCAGCCAAUUUAAGCGAGAGAGAGAGAGAGAUCAAGCAAGGUCUAGGUUUUGUUCUGACCUCACCACAUGCCGACUCAAAGAAGUUUCUCACAUCAGCUUGAGAAACCUGCAGGUGUAUAAAGAAAAUCUUAAACCAGGAGAAGCUACCGAAGAAAAGUAAAAUUAGUAAUGGUUGUAGAUUGUUCAGCAUUUACCUUCUUGUCGAUAUUUGUGCAAUAGAUUGUCCUUGUACACAUCUCCCUUUCAUAUUCUGACUGAAUUUAACACCAAAAAAACUAUUAGAAUGCAGAGUUUAUUCAAAACUCAAAAAAAACUUAAAACCAAAUUAAUUAGUGGAACUUGUGACGAACAUGUGAGCUUACCCUGGGAAGAAAUGUGGGAUUCACUGGAAGAAUAGCAGUUUUGGAGGGUAAAACCCUCACUGGGUAGUAUCCAACCAUUGUUCCACCAAGGCUUAAAGCUUCUCUUGCGCCCUCUGUAUAGUAAAAUGCCUAGUAUGGGUCAAAAGAGUGAUAUUGAAUUUUUUCUGUUAAAGUAUUUCAAGAUUCCAGCAGCCAAACUUACGGUCCUCAGCAAACUCAACAAACGCAAAUCGAAGAACUGAAUGUGGAUCCCCACAAAUUCGACAAUCAACAACCUUCACAAGAGAAUAACUCACUGUUACUUCACAAACAUUAUAUACCACUAAAGAUACAUUUAAAUUAAAAAAAAAAAAAAUUGCAGCAAUAUUUUAGCACAUAACACAUAAUCUCACUUUCAACAGAUAUGCUUAUAAACUUGUCUAAAUCAAUUACAUUGUCCAAAACCAAUGAAGGGAAAAGGAUAUAGCAAGCAUUAUUCAAAGGCUUAAUUGUCAUCUUACUUGUCCACAGUUACUAAACAAGCAAGCGAGACCUUCCUCAGUUACCUAAACCACAAAGCAGAUUUAGGUUACAUGGAUGCAAACUGUAACUUUAAUCCUUUUGAGAACCUUAAAAAAGACAGUAACAAACUUACACUCUGGUCAAUGUCAGAAACAUAUACUGUUCUUCUAAUACUAUCCUCUCUCUGAGCCUUAGAAAUUCUUCCAGUUAACCUCCUCCUCCCUUGGCUAUAACUGUUUCUUCUCUGUUUUCACAAAAAGAAGAAAAUUUAACACAACGAAACCCCCAAAGUUUGCAGCUUUACAACAACAAAAAGUCACAUUGUGAAUCGUCAGAUUAAUUUAUCAUCCAAAUUAUCUGAUCAUUAAAAAAAAAAAAAACGGGAAAAACAAAUCCACGAUUAUACCUUGCGGUUAUUGUCAUCCUUCUUGCCAUCAGGAUCAAAUUCUUCACCGGAUUGCUUCUUCGUGGUCGGAAAAUCGUCAGACGACAGAAAUUGAUUACCUUUCCCAGUCUGAAUGUUCUUCUUCGGAUUGUAGUAAGAAGGGAAAAACUCCUUAGCCAAAGGAUUCAGUUUCUUGAAAAUCGCCACAAGCUUCUGCAUAUCUAACUCGGAUUCGGGUUUGAGCUCGGAUUCAGUUUUAGAACCCGUGAUCGAGCUCUUCUCAAUUCCGUCACCAGUGAUCUUUUCGCCAUCGCUAUUGAUACUAAUCUCAUGAGCAUCGUCGAUAACAUCAGUGGGCAUUUCAGUGAUCGCAGCCAUUGAAUCAGAUUCCCAGAAAACAGAAUAACUUAUUAGACCCCCCCAAAAAAAAACAAGGAGGAAACAACUCUCUCCUUUUCAGUAAUUUUUUCGUAAAUUUCGAAACUUUGACGAAAGAUGAUGAGAAAAACUCGACUUAAUCCAAAAAUGUGACACUCUUAAUUGAAACCCAUUUAAAAAAUUCCACCGUAUUAACGCACGCAAAUCACGAAGGUGCUUGAUCUCGUAGAUAUUGAUUAUAUAAACAAGAGUUGAGUCAAAAUGUAAUAGUCAGGCCAUUUAAGGGAAUAUAGAGUUUGCGAUUACAGAAAGCUUUCUCUGUGGUGUGGUUAUGGUGAUGAGCGAAGGGAGGAGAUGAAGUAAAAAGAAAGGAAUGAUGAGGCUUUUUUGCUUCCGUUUUGGCCGCUCUCUAUUUUGGCCUUUUCUACUUGCAAAGACGCUAACUUUCAGAAGAGUGAUGAACAAAAAAUAAUUGUUUUUUUUUUUGUGGCAAGGAACAUAUUUUAAUUAUCCUUGCGGUCCCUCUAUCUUCUUUUUAUUUUCCAAAAUGCCUCACGGUUUGUAUUGUUUAACUUUCGAUGUAAUUCGAGUAAGUAAAACUGUUUACAUGAGGAAUAAUAUAAAGGGCAAAAUCAACCACUCUUUUAUUUUUAUUCCAUUUUCCCGAUUAUAUUCUUCUUCUUUUAUAUGCAACAACGACAGAAAAUUUCUUCUUUUUUUCUUUUAAAGUUCCAUGAUGUUGUUUUUACAUUUUUUUCUUUCAAACAAUUUGUGUUAGUAGGUAGACUCGUUAAAAACUAAUAAGUCCGUUGCGUGCUGCUACUUCUCUUGCUCCAUGAAUCUUUGGAUUUGUUAGGAUUUAUCUAUUUUUCUUUCUUUUUGUAUAUAAAUUUCGUUUUUCUACUGCAUGAUUUUAGGUCAGGUUCGCCCUUUCUGCAUUUUUCAUUUUUUUUUGUUUUUUAUUUUCAUUUCAAAAUUCAUAUUAACAUGUACAUUUACACUCAUUUGAAGACAUUAUAAUAAAAUAGUGUCUUCAUAUGUUAUGCAUUCAUGUUCACUUUUUUUUGUUACAAGUCUUAAACAACUCAGAAGAAAUGUUUUGUCAAAAUAAUAAUUUAACUAAUUAAAACUUUAGUUUUUUCAGACUUUAAAAUAGAGUUUUUAAAAAAAAAAUCUCUUUAUUAGUCAUAGGUAAUUUAAAAUUGAUUCCUAUGUGUAUGUAUGGUUUGAUAUUUAUAUCUACAUUUAUCUGAAAGAUUUUCAAAACCAGGGUAUAUAUAUUUUUUUUUCUUUUAUAUGAGAUAUUACUGGAAUAAUAAAAAUAAAUUGUGUUUUUAAUUUUUUUUUGUAUGGUGAUAUGUGUAAUAUUUAAAAUUUAAAUAUAUCUAUAACAGUGAAUAAAUUUAAUAAUUUUAUUUUAAUAUUUUCUACAUUUUGAUUUUUGAAUUUAUAUUAUUUUGUAAUUUUAUAUUAUUCAAACAAAUAUUUUGAAUUUUGAUCUGUAUUUGUUCUGCAUGAUCUGCUUGAUAUGUAUUUGUUCUGCUUGAUAUGUAUUUGUUCUGCUUAAUCUGCAUGAUUUGUAUGAUCUAUAUUUUUAUUUAUCUACUAGAUUUUAACUUUGUGCGUCCGCACGAGAAUGUUUUAUUUUUUAUUUUUAAUAUAAGUUGCAUUUAUCAUUUUUGUUUAGAUAUAAUUUAUUUUUGUUAUUUAUUUUUUUAAAUCAAAAAAUUGUUAUCAUAUUUUAAUUUUAAACAGUAAAAUUUGUAUAUUAGUAGAAUAAGAGUAUACAUUAAUUAAGUAUACAUUGAUCUAAUGUUAAUUAUAAACUUUGUUAUUAUGUGAAUUUAGAUUUACACAUAAACAAUCUAUAUAUCUAUAAAUUUGCUAAUCCAUCCGUUUAGUUGUCUUAAAUCAUUUUUAAUAUCUUACAUGUUUUGACAAACUAACCCGUAUAAAACUAUAAUUAUAAUUGUAUAGAAUAUUUGGACCAAUUGAUUAUGAAAAUAUAUAAAAAGAUAUUUAUUUACUAUUUGUGCUAUUAAAAAAAUGUAUAUAUAUAUAUAUAAAUAGGCUAACAUGUUAGUUUAAUUGUCUCAAAUCAUCUUAAUAUCUUACAUGUUUUAAUAAAUUAACUCAUGGACCUUAAAUAUAUAUAUAUAUAGAUAACUCUAAUCAGCUCGAUCAUAUUUUUGUAUAAUAUAAAUAUUUAUUAAUCUCAAAUAUUUAAUAUUUUAGAUCGAUUGUUUAUGAUAAAAUACGAUAAAAUAUUUAUUUACUAUGCAUUUUUAUAAAAAUAUUAUUCAAAUUUAAAAUUUAAAAUUAAAUAUUUUCUGUAUUUAAGAAAUUAUAAAGUAUUGAAAUUAUUAUCUAAAUUUUUGUAAUAAAAUUUAAUUAUAAUUUUUUUGAAUUUUUUGAAUUUUAAUUAAAUUGAAUGCAAAUUUUUGUAACUAAAUUUAGUUAAAUUGAAAUUUAAAUUAAAGAUGAUCUAGAUUUUAAGAUAUCUAAAAAUAUCUAAAUUAAUAACUAAUUUUCGGAAAUAAAAUAUAAAAAUAAAAUAAAAUAUUAUAAAAAAAAACUUUGGGAAUGUUUGGAUGCAAGGACUAAAUAUGCUUAUGUUUUAAUAGAAUAGAUAGAUAUCACCAAUCGAAACCAUAUUUUAUUCUGAAAUCUUGCCGAUUACUGUUGAAAAAAAAAACGGAAUAUAUAUCAGAUUGUUGAACAACAGAAUCCACCGUCCUCGUCGCGAAUUUAUAAAUGUAUAUAUAGUUGUGACUUGUAACUUUAAUUAUUACAUUUCGUUUUGAGUGAUACCUCUAAUACUUAACUAUGUCACCAUUGCGUUAUUUUAAGGAACAAGAAAAAAAAAAUUGUAUUCCAGUAUUUAUGAUUGUUAAAAUUUUAAAAUGUUUUCUCCCGGUUGCAAACAAACAACUCGACAUGCCACAACAAUGGAAGGAUCUGUUUCGAAAGAAUUUAUAUUUUAUUAUGUAAAGUAAACCAAUAUUCAACGAAAUCUUAUUAUUAUAUAUAAGACGCGUUUGAUUGGUUGAAGAGAUUUACAAAAUAAUAUUUUCAUGGCGAUGUUUUACGAGAGAUGCUUGUACGCCAAAUUAAGAACAACUGAUGUGUCGUUCUAUUCUCUUCCCAUAUCGUAUAUGUGUAACAUGACAAAAUCUUUUUUUUUUUUUUUCACGGCUACACAGUCACAAGCAAAGUUGUCUUGACUUGAUGACACGAGUUCCUUUGGAUCAUAAAAUUUAAUAUUCGUCGUAUAGUAAAAUCAAUAUUCAAUCCCUCCUCGACAAAGUAUAGUUAAUUACUGGAGCUGUUCUAUUCGUUUACGUUAGAAAGAUUCUGAACUCCCCGUUAUAUAUUGUAAUUAUAUCACGUUUCGGAUUCGUAUAGAAAUUUCUUUAUACGAUCUCAAUUUCCUUUAUUGUACAAACGUUGAUUUUAAAGCCUCUUAAAAGUCUGAAUUCUGUUAGAGGUAGUAUUAAGAUUUAGAGAUAGUUGGUUAUGAAUAAAAGGGCUACUACUCGUCCCCGUUAACAGGAAACAACAACAACUACAUAAAAAGUAGGAACAAAAACAAUCGUCCCUCCCAUGUUUUCAGGGACGUUCCACCAUUGCAGACCCAUUUAGGCCCAUCCGUAUAUCGUGGGAAUGAAACUCAGUAUGAUUGAUCGAAUAAGGAAUAUUUAUUUAUGUUGGGUUUUUUUUGGGGCCAGACUUACAUAUAUCGGCCUACAUUUCUUUCACAAACAACAAUGUCGUACUAAAAACGUAUAAAUAUUUUGAUUUUGGGGGGGGGGGGGGUGCAUAUUAUAUGAAAAUUCCAACGAAAAGAUGAAUUCAAAUGAAAAAGACAACACCACCAAAACGAUAUAUCGAAAGUGAACCAAAACACUUAUUGGGCUUUUUAAAUAUUUUUUUCAAUUUUAUUACUGAUAUAUUGGUUCCCAUUCACGUGUACUAUAGUGUGUACUACAUAUAACCAUGUAAUAAUAAAACUAUAUAUAUAUAUAUAUAUUCUCGAAGUAUCUGAAGACUUCUAGAAGAUGCCAAUCAACCAACGUAAUAAACUUUGUAUCGAGGCUUCGGGCUAACAAAAUUGGAAUUGAGUUCCUUUUUCUAUUUCUCUUGAAAAUUAAUUUCUAAGAAACUCUCUUCAGAAGUCUUUAUAUUCCACGAAAACAUCCUUUUAUAUUUAAAGAAGAAUUGACCACAAAUGGUAAGGGGAGUUCAAUUUGGUUAAACUGAACCAUACUGAAUUGAACGAAACUGAAAUAGAAUAAUAUCUUUGUUAAUUUCAGUUAUCUUAUUAUAUAAUAUAUAUUAAAUUCUAUAGAUUACUAUCGUAGCUAUGUUACUAUUAUAGCAAGAAAAACAUUUUAUUAAUGACUUAAUGUUAUGAAGUUUUUCGAUUUUUAUCAAUAUUUAGCUCAAGGAAAGAAAGAAAGAAAAGUAUAUAUAAGGUCAAGAAUCAAAGUUAUAGUACAUUAAGGAAAUACUUAAAAAAUAUUCACAUAAAAAUUAAAAAUUAAAAGAAAAGCACGAUAAAUGUUUGAAUUCUUACGACCAUUGGAUUGUUUGAAUUCUUAUGAACAUUGGAUUCACGUAUUCGUUAUAUAUAUAUAUAUAUAUAUAUUCUCAGAAGAAGGGAACAUUAUUUGAAAUUUGUACACUUUUACCAAAAAUGCGAUAAAGAAAACGUUUCAUACGCAACAUCCAACAAUAAGUAAAAUUUUAAACUCAUGGAACUUCCAUUUUAUGGAAUCUGAAUAAAUAAAUUACAAAAUAAGGGACCGAUAAGUAUUGUUGACUAGUACAUCUGUACAUCUUAAACAAACAAAAAAAUUAGAAGAGGUCAAAUUAUAGGAUUCCGUUAGCUAAUUUAAUCAGAAGUUUCAACUCAUCGAGUGCGGUCGGUUAAAGCGCUUUUGAUUGACCGUUAUAAAACGCGUCAAAGCAAAAUCACGCCUUGCCACGUGUUGGUCAUUUUCUUGGUGAAUUGGACACGUUUUAUCCAACGUGUCUUAUUCUGUCGGAAGGCUCUCACUUGUGACGUGUCUUUUAAUUAACGGUAUCAUACAUUUGGCGGCAGUUUUGAAGCGUUGGAGAUCCUGCCAUCUUUGCUCCGUUUUCUUUUUUAUAAUCUAUUUUUUAUUAACUUCUGGAUAUUAAAAGAACUAAUCUAAUCGCAGUGUAGAGUACCAGUGAUGACAUUUUAAUUGGAUAAUCAAAACUUGGAUUACAUUUUACUAUAAAAAUAUGUAUAUAUAUAUAUAUAUAUAAAUCACCAUGCUUUUUCUUCUUUUGUCUACUUUCGGUUUUUUCGUGCUAAAGUUAUGUUACCUGUCUAAAUCAGGAUAUGAACUUUUGAAAAGAAAAAAUAUCUAUUAAUCAGCCAAAAUUAAUAGAAAAUUUCAAACUUUACUUGUACGCUUGUAGCUUUGUAUUGUACUUGCGGUUUAGGCGUAUAGGAUAUUUGGUUAACUUACAUGCAACAUACCAAAAACAAUUAAGUGAUAAUGGAUUAAUAGUUUCUACGAUGAGUUAUUAUUUAAUUCAAAUUAGAAUCAAAUUUUUCCAAUAUACUAAUGUGCUUUAGAUCAAUUAAAACAAUUAUAGUUAAUUAGCCAUUUAACUGCUAUACUCAUUCGGUAAGAUUGGUUGAGUGAUAAAAGUGUGAUCCCUAAUGAUUAUAAAAAGAGCAUACUAAGAACAAAAAAAAAUAUAUAUAUUUUUGUCAAUCCAGGAUUAAUAUUAAGUAUGAUAGAUUUUUAAAAUUUGAAAGGGAUCUUUAUUUUAUUUUAUUUAUCUUUCAUUUGGAAUCUUAAAGUAAUUAAGUAGAUAUUCAACACAUGCAUUGAUUGGACAAGACGGUCCAAUAAUUUCUUUCUAUUAAAUAGUUAAGAAGAAGUGAUAUGGAGAUUAGAGAGAGUGGGACAGAAAAAGAAAUUUGAUUGGAAGAGAGCUAUUAAAAUGAAAGGAGUGCAUGAAUCAAUGAAAAGUGAGGUAGUGAAUGUCUCUAUCUCUUAUUUUACGCACUUUCUUUAAUCAUAACUCAUUUUGUCCUCUCUCUAUGAGAAAAGUCGAAACAAUGUGGAGGUUAUGUUCGUUGCUUAUUCAUAAUAAAAUAAAAAUUUAAAAAUAACUAUACUGUAGUAACUAAUCGAGUAUCCAGUACUUAUUGAAGUUUUAAAUCUUCUGAACAAAUUCAAAAAAGAUCUUUUAAUUUGUUUGACAGAGUUACAAGUUCUAUACCCACCAUUGUAUUCUUAAUUCAAUUCAACUAAUAAAUACACUUGUAUAUUGUUUUUAUAUGCUUUUUUUUUUGACAUCACUGUUUUUAUAUGCUUACAUAAUUUGUUUUGCAAUUUUGUUUUCGACAACUACUAGUUUUAUCGUAUACGAGUAUAUUCGGUUUUUCGUUAGAAUGACAUAACAUCGAUUAUAAUAUAAUUCAAAAUAAUCUUAUGUUUAAGAAUUAAUUGCUAACGUAGAAAAAUGAUAUUAUCAUACGGCUUGACUCUGAAAUUAUAUGUGAACGGGUGCCACACAUGAAUUCUUUCGUAUAAGGGUUGUUUGUUUAUCUUGAUUAAGUGUUAUUUGAUAGCAAAUUAAAACAUCUAAAACGGAGAACCAGGUUCCAAAAUGGUCGAUGUCUACGCGAUUUCAAGAGUUCAACCGUUGGAAAUUGACUAAAAGUUCCUGGAGAUAUAUAAUAUAAUAAGUAAGCCAAAAUAUCCAUAACAAAAGUAUUUGUGACUCAUACAAGAGUAACAAGGACACAUGUCUUUUGAUGUGUAAAGUAAUAAACAAAAGUCUAGAUAUUUAAUCGCUUGUUUGAAUCUACUAUAUGCAUGCAAGGCAUUGUGUUAAAACAAACAAAAAACUAGGAGCACUGAAAAACAAUGCAAGUCAGUGCUAUUAGUACUUAAGCCCAUCCCAUCGCGCCUCAUAUAAAUGAAAAUAGAAGAAAAAAAUAUCCCAAAAAACAACUGUAUUGGUUUGGUACUGUUGAAGAAGACAAGUUAACUCUAAUUUAGCUACACAUGGUUAGUUGGUUACAAUAACCAAAUUUAUUAUAUUUUUAAAGAAAUAUAUGAUUUUUGUCCUUUCUAUGUCUAAAUAAGUAUAGGAUGCAUAUUAUUGUGUUCAAAGCGGAUUAGCUUUUUAAAUAUUAUAUCAAUACCCAUACCCGGCCCUCCACUUGUUUCUAUAUAGGCUAAGCUUUAUCAAUAGAUUUUUCUAAAAUUAAUUGUUGUAGUUUUUAUAUAAUCAAAACCGUAUCAUAUCAAAAGCAGUCCCUAAUUAUUCCGAAAAGUGUGAUUAAGUACACCGAACCUAAGAUUACAAAGAUCAGAAAGGAAAUAAGAAAAGCUUACAAAGAUAAGGCUCCUCUAAAUACUAUAUUAGGUCAAACAAAGGCAGGGUUAUUAACUCUAUAAGUCACUCUUGGUUAGGUACGAAUAAACGAACGACACCUAAGGUCUUCGAGAAUGGAGAUCUUAUUAUUAUCAUAUCUCUUAUAGUUUUAUUUACUCACAUAUAAAAAGAGUUAAAAUUAUUAAGAAGCAUUUAUAUAUACUUUCUAAUGGAAGGGGACUUUAGGCCAAGACUACCAAUAAAAUUAAAGGAGUGUCAAUUAGAUUCAAAAAUUACCAAAAAGAAAACCAAAGUGUUUAAAAACUUAAUAAACAAAAAAAAAAAUAUGUGUAAUAGUAUCUCACAUUUGGGCUUAGCAAGGACCAGGUUAGUCCGAUGAAUCUAAUUAUUUCACACUUAAAUGUUUUUAAGUGAAUAUUAGAGUAUCAUACUAGGUUUUUUUCUAUAUCCUAUGUUUAUUAGAAAAAUAAAGCAUGUUACAAACAUGAAAAAAAAGCUCAGACUGAUCAUUUGAAACUUGUAAAAAUAAUAUCUUUUUAUAAUAUUUAAAAUAACGUUAAAAAUAUUCCAAAAGAAGACCAUUGUAUACUCCACAAAGGGAUUUUCUUGAAUCUGACCUUAAAUCCCAACUCUCUCGAAGUGGAAACCAUUGUAUGCUGCACUGAUGCGGCUUGGAAGGCUGAUUCUCAAUUAGCAGGUCUUGGUUGGAUCUACAACUCACACCAAAGACAAACUUCCAACUUUUUGGUUUUUUCAUCACAUGUUUUGUCGGUUCUGUUGGCAGAAAGCAUUGGCGGUGAAAUCUGCCCUUAUCUACGUUAAGUCUUUGAAUUUCACCAAAAUCUCCAUCAAAUCGGAUUCGCUAACCUUGAUUCGGUUAAUCAACUCAAGCACUUUGACGUCGGAUCUCCAUGGUGUUCUAUCUGAUUAAAUCUCUGUGUUGUUUAAUCAAUUUCAAUUUUAUUUCAAGAUAAAAAAAACUGUAAACUGACUUAUUAGCCAAACAAGCCCUUAAUGAGCUGGUGAAUGAUAUAACACAUUGAAUUUAAUACAAGAAUAGUUGUCCAAAACAAAACAAAAAUGUUAAAAAUGUCCUUUAGGACAUCCACUAAAAGAAUACUCUUUGAUUAUAAAUAGUUAUAAUUAAGGUAUAUAUACUAGAAAUAAUUCAAUUUUUUGUUUUAUCUCUUCUUAAUGUACUAUAUAAUAUUAAUUUACUAAUUAAUAAACUAAAAGUAUAGAGAUAAAAGUAAAAAAAUAUCAAAAAUAUGCAUUGAAAAUAUAAAAGACAGUUAUAUUGAAACAAAAUUUAAAAUCUUAAACAACAAUUAAUAUAAAAUAGAAUCAGUAACUUUAAAAGAGGUGUGAGUGGAAGUAUGUAUCUUAAUUUUAAUGUUGCUAUUAUCAUAAAUUAUUGUUAUUAGUGACAUCUACUAGUACUGCACAAAAUCCGUGUGGUACAAAACAAUGCCCUCGUCUCCCGGCAUUAGCAGGAAAUAUUUUACAAACAAAAAAAAUAGUUAGGUAUAAAUAUAAGUAUUCGCUUAGGUUUAUAGUAAGUGUUCGCGUAAAUAAAAUAAGAAAAUCAUGAACUAAUUAAUAAACCCCACUUCAGAAAUUAACUAUUAUUAAUCAUCACAAUACUGUGUUGUGACUCAACGUUCAGGUACGAUAGCUAGCUUACGCAUAUCUUUGGAACGACAACGGUUCGAUGGUGGGAAUAUUAUUUUAACUAGAGAUGAUUUAUUGUUUAUAAUACUGACCAAAACAUAUUUAUUAAAAAAAUCUUCAAAUUAGCCAAUCAGACAAAUGACAUUCAGUUAAUAUAAAUUGACCGUUGCCGACAUUAGGAUUUUGCUUUUAGAAAAAUAACUUUUUUUUUGUCUCGUUCUAGUGGUCGUUUAAUUCGUUGCACGUAUUUUAUUAAUAAAUGGCCGAAGCGGUAAAAAUGCGGCAUAUUCGCAUCUUUAAAUUGCUCGUAUGUUAUUCAUUUUGCCAGUUUUAAGCUAUUUAAUUAAAUCAUGUGUUAUUAGAUUUGUUAUAUGUAAGUCAAAAUUUGAGAGUUUAAUUUUAUUCAACUAAUAUAUUUAAAACUAUUCUCCUCACUCUGUGUCAAUUGGUUUUCUAUGUUUUUGUGUGUUUUACAUUAAAAUUUCUAAAAUAUUUAAAUUAAUUGUUAUUUUAUUAGUGUAAGAUAUUUUAUGAUUUCUAAAAAUUAUAAAUGAUUUGAAAUUGUUAUUUGGAUAAUAAUGGAAUAUUAUAUUUUUUUUUUUUAAUUAACAUCGGAGACAAAAUUAUCAGAGAUUUAGCGAAAAAGUCAGCCAAAUUAAUGUUUUUUGUAAUUUUUAAAAAAAAUAAUGAUGGAUUCAAACUGUGAUGAGAACUGGUUAGUGUCGUGCAUAAUAUCGUAGAUCCCCUUUACAUUAUGUCAUGUUCUGAUGGCUCAAAUGAGAUUUUGUAAAUUGGAUUUGAUGUUGAUGAUUUUUCCAACCGAAGCUUAAUGUUGGUUUAAUCACCGAUAAUAUUGUCAACGCUUCUAUAUAUUGGAAGGGGAGAAUAGAUAAGGGGUUUCUAAAAUGUUAGAAACAACUUUGUUUUUGUUUAUACCAGUAAACUCAUUAGUCAUUAUGAACAAAGAAAAAGAAAAAAAAAAAACUUUGUGCCACGCCAUGUCAAUAAUUAUAGCAAAUGAGACAUUGAUCAGCUCGAAUUCAGUAGUUAAUUUGAAAAAAAUCAUUUAGAAAAAACGAAAAAGGAAAUUGCUUGACUUGUAUCUUAUCUGAAGAAGAUAAUGACAACGAUUAUUAUGAAUGCCUAUGAAAUUAAUAACGAUACGUAAUAAAAUAAAAAUAUAAAUAACGAUACGUAAUAUGUAUUGAGUUUGUGAUCGUAGGAAAGUGGUCCGUGAAUAAAUACAUUGAAUUUUGACCAACUUUACAGGCUGAUGGAUCGGAGGAAAAUAAAACUCCUCUUCUAAAUAGAAACAAAAACAAACUAUAUGAAGUUGAGAAAGUCUUCUUCUAGUCAUUGCCGCUUAAUAUCCAUUUUUACCUUCCUGUUGACUGAUUAAGCCAUUUACUUUUUUACAAAAAAAAUUUAUAGAAAAUAACGUGGAAGUUUAAUGACACAAUCAAUACAUAUCGUAAUCAAAAACAUAAUGAACAUAUGCGUAUUCACACUAUUAUUUUAGGUACUAUUCAGAACUUUUUUUAAGAAAAAAAAACGUAUGUUUAUACCUAUGAUAGUUUAAUAAAAAAAAACAAGUAUCUGUAUCUCUACAAUAUUCGUAACAAGUCAAACUACAAACUAAAACGUAUUAAGAAUUGGUGUCAGGUUUCAUAAACACAUUAUUUGUUUGUUUUAAGUAUUUUAAAAAUAAAUAAACUUAAUUUAAAAAACUCCACAAUAUAUUUUUCUCACUACCCUUACUUUUAUUUUACAUUAAAAUUUUCAGAAUUUAAUUAGUUCCCAUUUUUUAAAUAUGACAUGGUGGAAUUGGACUGUUGUCUCUAAUCAGCUAAAUAGCUUGAAUUUUCAAAAUUUCUCCAAAAAAAUAAAAAUAAAUAUUGGGUAACGUAGCUAAAUCAUUCAACUGCACGCAUAACCAGAAACAACUGGAAAUUUAAUUUGCAUGCAUGAUAUAACCAGAGAUAAAAGAAAAAAAUUGCUAAUGAAAAUGGGAAAAUGUAAAAAUGUUUUAUAAUGCAAAGGGGUUAGUUUCUUCAAACUUUCCUUUCGGGUACCGGACAUAUUAAGGACAUGAUUAAGGAUCACAAGUUCGAAUUUCUUAAGGUCUAACCCCAAAAGAAAAAUCAGCUUGUAUUCCGAAGAGAACAAAAAACAUGCGCACGAUAACAAAGCAGUGUUUGGAGUGGUCCCAUAUUGUGGAGUUUUCCCUGCAACUCUUAGUAGUAACAGAAACUUGAUUUGACACCUGCCAAAGAUGCCCCUAAUUAAGUAUGUUCCCCUUUUUCUUGUGCUUUUCUCUCCAAGUAGUUUUUUGUCAAACUUCCAAUGUCGUCAUACCCACACAUUUUGGCUCCAAUUAUUUACAUUCACAUACAUAUAUAAUCAUAAGAACAUUUAGAACUUAUAAAAGAAGCUAGAUUUUGAUCCAUUUGAUUACACAAUUGCAAAACAAAAACUAUGAAGUGCUGAUCAAAUACGUUUUAAAAUGUGCAUAUAUAGAAAAAACGAUUUGUUCAAAAUAGAUAAACAAAAUUUUUUAGGUGACACAAAUAAAAAUUUAGAUCGUUAAACUUUUUUAUUUAUUUAAUAAUUAUUUUGGUCUGGAUUUUGUUUUUGAAAGGUUUAAUAAAUGCAGAAGUCAAUCUGUUUCACAGCCAUUUCCAUUACAACAACCAUAAGUGAAAAGAAAACAUAUGUUUCGUGGUAACCGAUUAAAGAAAAUCUUUACAGAUACCAAAAUUUUGAAAUACCAACCAUUCCUUUUCUAUGUAUUUGUAAGCACUAAACCAUUCAUCUAAUUAAUCAUAUGAUAAAAACACAUGUAAAUAUGUAUAUAUACUAGAUUAGGGAGAGAUACAUAUGCACUUUAAACACAUGCAAGUAUAUUGUAUUUCUGAACGCUGAUUGGCCGGUCGGCGCAAGGCUAACAAAAAGUCAGGGACUCAGGAGCACUUGGGUUGGGUCCCACGCGCAGAAGACUGAUGUGGGGCCGUUACCAUAAGCAAACGGUUUUUUUAUUUAAAUAUAUUUUUGGUUAAAUUAGAGUGGAUGGAGGUCGUAGUUUUAUCAGGUGAAGGCUAUCUCCAUAUUGUCCAAUAACAUGGGAAGAGCCCCGCCAAACAAAAAUUGGAUUAAAAUAUUUGUAGAAAAUUCUUAUCCAUUUAGAAUAUACCCACUCUUGGAAAACGGGUAUCCAUAAUUUUUUUUUUUUUGGUUAAUGAGAUAUCCAUAAUCGUUUAUGAGUAUAUAUUUACGUACUUCCUCCUGGCGGAUCAUUUGUUUUAAUCAAUAAUUUGUAUAUUAUAGUUUUAGUAUUACUAUAAGACACUCACGGCUUAGACUUGUCUUUGGGAUCUAUCAUGUACUAAAAAUAUCUGUUACAAUGCAUCAAACAAAAUCAACCGUGUGAUAUAUAUUAAAAAUAUUCUAGAGUAAUAUUUUGUGAAUUUAAUUGUCAAAUGUACGACGUCUCAGUUUAAAACUAGUCAAAAUAAAAGAAAUACCCUCAUUUUUAUUCUUUUUGAUUUUGUCUUAUUUUGGACAAGGAGAUUUCUAACACGAUCGAAUAAAUAUUUUUUAUAAUUCAUGUGAGAAACCAAAUUCCAUUCAAAAUGAAUCAAUCUAAUUCUAAUACCAAGUAAAUCAUUUUUAUAAAUAAUGGUAUUCCUGCAUUUUAUCAUCUGAUUAAUUGCAUUAAUUAGGCGAGUAUAAACGUCUAAGUAGUCUAAUCACCAAGUUUUCAAACAAAAUUUAAAACAUGACACUAUUUCAAUUUUCCAGAUUAAAAACCAUGUAUAAUUUAUAAAAGAAACUCACCAUAUCUCUUCUUACAUAGUACUACUUUUUAUCUUAUUUAAGCUUUGAGAACAAAAUCUUAAUAUUGAAAAUGAAAUACAAGUCCAGAGAGACUGCAAGGAAUUGGUUGCAAAUUUGCAAUGAUGUCAAUGCUCGAGAACUAGUCAGUGGUCUUCAUCAUAUUUGACGAGAAUGUAUCAUGACCUAAAUGCGUUUUUUAUGUGUUUUUUACGUAAACAAUAUUACUUCAACUUCGUCAGUCCUACCAGCCGAUUUAUUACAACAAUAUUAUACAUGCUGAAAAGAAAAAUUAAAAUUUUGAAACUGCGUUGCUUUAGGACUUUCAAUGAAUCAAUGUUUUAUGUUCUGACAUGUGCGUGCGCAAACACAUGGUGACGAAAUCUUUUGUCGGAUAAAUGUCAUCCAAUAAAAAUUAUACAUGUGUCUGAAAGAAAAACUUUGACUCUUUGACCACAAAUUGUAUUUUGUCGUGGUUCGCGCCAUAUUUUUGAGGACCAAACUAAUAAAAGAACUUUAGGAAUCUAAGGUAUUGAAUGGCGACAUGUUAAAAGCGGUAUUCUACACAAAGAAAUGAAAACCGCAUUACAUUUACCAAUCAAACAAUAUAAUAACACAUUUGCGUUUUUUUUUAUAAAAAAAACAGAAAACAGAAUGCGUUUUUUUAACAUGUAUAAUUGAUGGACCGCACACUUAAAAUGGAACGCAGAGUUUGUGCAGCAGUCCAUAUAGAAAAACGCACCGAGCAACUUUUUAAAAAAUUUAAUUUUUAAUUAUUAAUAUAUGAUAAACAUGUGUCACAAAAUAAUUUUUUGUGCAGUCUGUUUAAUUUAAAAUUUAAAUUGUUUUCAAAAUUUUGGGUUUUCUAAAUAUGAUAGAUGAUAUGAACAGAUAUAUGUAUGUUAUAUUUAUACAUAUUAUUUAUUUUUAUUAACAAAUAAAUUAUAAUCUUUAUACUUUUCUAAACACAUACCCUAUAUAUUAUUUAUAUUUAUAAUAAAAGACAAAAUUAUAAAUACAUUGUCAAAUCAAAAUAUUUGAUGAUUGUUUUUAUUAUAUUAUACUUUAUUUAUUAUGAAUUAUUGUUUUAAAUAUUUGAAGUUCUGAAUAUAUACAAUUGUUUAUUCAUUAACCAAAAUUAAUAAUUUAAUUCUAAUUAUAUUAACUAUUAUAUAUUUUUAUAAUAUAUUUAUCUAUAAUCUGUAAUCCGUACCGCUUUAAUUUUAUUCACCAUUCAAACAAUUUUUUGUGGACUGCAAGCUGUUUUUUUCACUAAUCAAACAUUAUUGUAUACCGCUAAUUAUAUAAAAACCGCAUUUGUCUCGCAAAUAUAUUUUUCCGCACGUACCGCAGUUGAACCGUACCACACUCUAAAACCGUUUUUUCCGCACAAUAAAAAACGCUGUCACUAUUCAGAGCCUAAAUCCAUUCGUUACUUUUACAUAAAUUUUCUAGAAUUUUAAAACGGAUUCACCAUAGGAGCACCGUGCUAUUUAAGACACGUGUGUUUCCUUUACAACAAUGCUAUGUUUAAAUAUGAAUAUAUAAAACAGAAACAUAGCAAAUUAAUAGAUAAAACAACUGAAUUUAGUUUUUUAUCAGAAAAAAACAACUAAAAAUUGAGUCGCAUAUGUACUACACAGCGUCGGCUUAAGAGUCUUACACAAUAGCUCAAUUAUACGCAGAAUUGCUAAAUCGGAUAUUAUUGGAGCACACAAUUAUUAAUGUGACAUGUGACGUGAACGAGUCGACCUUUGACCCACCAGAAAAAUUAGAAACCAUGGAACCACGUCUAAUCGAUUAGGGUUCUGACAAUAUUCCAUUCUGAGGAGGAUAAGAUUUCUGUUUUUUAUAUAUAAUUCUUUGAAUUCAGGUCACAUUAUAUAACCCUAUUAAUUAUUAAGUUACACCUCGUAUUUUUAUCAGUAUUCAGUUUGUUCAGUUUAAGUGUUAUGUUAUUGAUCAAACCUCAUGUUACUUUCAAGUGUCAAAACAUAGAGAACAUAACGUUCCCACUCUUCUAUUUUGUACGGUGAAAAAAAUAUCUCGACGUGUACUGGAUGUAGCUCUCGUUACUAGUACUUUGGGUGAUAGAGUACCCAGUAGCGGAUUAAAAAAAAAAGUUUAGUUAGAGACAUAAAUUAUUAGUAAGGGACACUUGUUUUUACCACUGAAUUUAUUUUUAAUUAAAUUUGUCUAAAUAUUUAAAAUUAAAAUAAAAAUAAAAAGAAUGGAGCACUGGACCCCACUUUUACUUGACUCGCUCUGCCCUGAAAGUACCCGGAUUUGAGUCAACUCACAAAAUACGUGCAAAUUUUAAAAAUUAGAUAGACAACAAUUCAUGAUAUUUUUUUAUAGAUUCAGUAUAUUAAAAAAACUGGAUUUUCUGUGGUAAAAAUUAAUAUUGGUGUUAAUCCAUCUGUCAAUAAAAUCUUAUAUAUUUGUUAACAUUUAUUUGCUAAAUUUAACCCUACGUAAAACAUUCAUAUCCACCUACUAGAUCAUGGUUAAUUAAGAACAUGCGUACUACCAUCAUCAUAAGCAAAAAGUUACAAUUAAUCGAGUUAUCAGAAAAAGACUAAACUCUAAAGUACCGCAAAAUAACUUAUUAUUAAAGUUAAACCAAAAAACCUUAUUAUUAUAUUAUUGGUUAUUGUAAAAAAAUCUUACACCAUAAUACUCGGGGAGUAUACAAUUAUUGAGGUGUCUCGUGAGCCACGAGUUCGUCCGUUAAACACAAUCGCUACCUUUCCCGAAACCAUGUUGUGCAUACAUACAUAUAUCCUUAUGUAUGUGUGUAUAGUAUACACAUCGUGUGUAAACACUAAUAAAUAUUUAAGAUAUAUAAAGACACUCAAAUUAUAAAUGAGGUGUCGAUAAAACUGACGUGGCGAUAACUUAUCAUAUAUGUUUUUGUAUCUUUUCCAUAAAUUAUAAAACUAAAAAGAAUUGAUGGUUAAGAUCACAAGCAUGAUUGAAAUUAUUUAGAUAAAAUAUCAUGAGGAUGAUCGAAUCAACCGUUAAUUUUAUAUUACAGUAUGUUGUUAUCCCAUUUUUUAAUGUUCCCCUCCACUUUUCAUGGACUUUAAUUAAGUCAUUGAUGACUCUAAUCAAACGAGACAGAAAAUCCCACUUAGCUAUAACUUUUUAUGAGGCUGUAUUAUAAAUUUUAAAUAUACUUUUUCUUUUUUUUUCUAGCGACAUUAUAUUGUAGGAUUUGGUAGAUAAGCCUAUGUCGUUGGCAUUCGCAACGUGAAAUCUUUAAUAUUUAACUUUUAGUUAACUGGCGAUAUUUUAACACGGGUACGGAUUCACCAAUCACCACCUAGCUAGGCAUUAUGUCAUAGGUCGUCAAGGAAACCUAAUUAACAUACAUAGGUUUCAUUUCACAGAAUAUAUCAAAUAAACCAAAUUUAGUUUUUUUUUAAUCAGUGAUUAAAUAUAGAACACACAAGUAUAUCUACUCUUUUUGGAUGGACAAGGUGGAGAAAGAUCUAUCAAAACUUAAGAACAACAUAAGGAAAUGAUCAAUUGAUCAUUUGUCGAAUAUUGUAUGCGAUAGAUAAAUAUUAAUAUACAUCGAUGACGUUCGGGUAAUGAUACUGUUCCCCGUAUGCAAAGUACUGAUUCUAUUAAUUUGUUCCCAUGCAAAUCGGAAAAACUCAGAAUUUCACUUCUUUUAUAGUUAUCUUAUAGGUUUAAUGUCGUAUUGGCUGGCGAUACCACUUUAUUCAUCUUCACUACAUCUAGCAGCAAUAAUCAAUUUUUAUUUUAAUUUUCCUUUUAAAUUAUUGUAAAAAUUAAAAAAACAGUCACGCAUCUGCAAGAACUUGGAUGAUAAUUUGAAAACUUUUAGUAAUUAGUUCAUAAUCCUUUAAUUGUACAUCGAUCCUAUAAAAAGACUAUAUCCAUUCUCAAUUUUUAUCAUGCCGCUGCAAAACUUAAUACGUGCAUGUUUCUUCUUCUUCUUUUUUUUGGCACGAAUGCAUGCAUGUUUCAUUUUUGUUUUCUUAUAUGUUCGACUACUAUACGAUGAAUAUUCUAAUAAUUGAUUAGAAUAUUUUCUGUAUGUUUUGGACAUGUUUUUCUUGUAAUGAUCAUUCAUAAAAAUUUAUAAAAGUUUGUAAUCUGCUAGUUUAUAUUAAUAACGUUGCGAUGUUAUAUCAAAUUUGGAAGUGUACGGGGGUGAAUUAUAGUUACGUUGGAAAGUCUUACAAAGAUUUAGGAACCGUAGACAACUGUUCUAAGAACAUAAGAUCGUGUAAGUCCAAAAGGGCUUAUCUCGAAACCAAGUUGUCGAAGAAACGUGUAUUACCCAUUAGAUCGGUUUUUAGAACAUAAUUAUAUAUGAGUGGUUGCCAGAAAAAGAAUAUAUAUAAGUGAAGAUGUAUUAAAAGUUUAUACCUAACGUUGACGGUUUAAGAUAAUAACUAACUAAUUAAAGAAUAAAUAAAGUAGUGACUUUUCCUGAUUCAUUACCUUUCAAGGCUUCAAGUACUUUUUAGUAUAUCAUCUUGUUUUAGUCGUAUGUAAAUCAAAUGGAGCGCAUGAUUUUAAUUUUGUUAAGAAUACGUUUUUAUGUAUACGAGACAUAAAGAAACCUAUUCAUGAUAAAGUUCACGGAACUUAAUAUGCUAGUAAUUUGAUCUAAAUAAAAUGGCUCAAAUAAAAUAUAUUAAAUUGUUGAUCAUUUAGUGAAAGUUGACCCGAGAUGGGUUGCAAUACGUACCCAUUAUACGUACACACAUAUGAGAUAACUAUGUAUAUAUAUAAAACUUUUUUCUUUCUACAAAAUGAUGUAUAUGAAAUUUAAAGUUAUUCAGGCGUAUACAUGUUUGAUAGUUCAUUCAAAGAUAAGUAUACAACUGCGUUUGCAAAACAGUUUAGUUAGGUGUUACGGUGGGAAAAAAUUAACAGAAAUUGUGUUUGUAAAAAAAAAAAUUAAAAGGAGAAAGAUUAAGAGAUGAUAUCUUCACAUUUAGACCCAAAAAAAAAGAAGAAGAGAUGAUAUGGAAAAGACGAAGAUAAAAAGAGAGACAACAAAAAAAAAGCAAGCGUGAUGGAGAGAACUAGAGAAGAAGUGAAAAAGAGAAGGAUGCCACGUGUUAUAUGGCAGAACUCGGUUAUGAGGCAAAUACGCGGGCUAUCUCUAAAACGUGUCCUCUUCACUAACGACGUACCAAACCAAUUCGAUUUCACUUCUCUACCCAAACAAAAAAAGAAAAGAAAAAAGAGAGAAAGAUAGACGACACAAUGGUCCAAUCGGAGAUUAGUGAGACAAUACAGACCCAAAUGUCCUUUUAGUCAUCUAUUUACGUGUUAUUUUCUUCUUAUUUUAUCCAUUUUCUAAGAUUUUUGUUUUCCUUUUUAAAAUGUCCAAAUACACCUAAUUUUAUAAUGCAAUUUUUUUUGUUUUUACACGAGGCCAUAUCAUGAUUAUACAAAGCUGGUUUGGUGUAGGGAUUCUUCCUUUCGAUUUCUAUAUGCUUCUAUUCUGUUAAACUAUUAGGCGGAGGUUCUAGAAAAUUAUUACGUCAAGAAGUGUGUUUUCUUUCGUUAAAUAUAUAAUAUGCGAAGUUUGUUUCGUUAAUAUAUAUAUGUGUCGACAUAUUAUUCCCACAAAUUCGAAACUCUUCUAGUUCUUGCAAUCUCAUAAUUAAUUAAUGACUCGAAUCUUUACAUAACAUAGACUUAAACAAGUAACUCUGAAUUCGUAGAUCGAGGACUUAUAAUAUGAUUAGUAAAAAUAAUAGGGAAAAAUAAUAUGCUAGUGUGUUUAGACUUUUAAAGGUACCAUCCACGUAUAUCAUAAGUUUAGAUCUUAAAUGGUCAUAUAAAUAAAAUAACAUAUAUUGGGGAUAAAAAGAAAUAUAUCCAACAGUAACGAUGAUUUCUAAAAACUUAAAAAGUGAUUCAGUUAGUAUUUGUUGCCGACAAGUCUUUGGGUAAAUUGAUUUAAACUUAAUAUGUAAGAAUAAAUGUGAUAAAAAAAAAAAACAACACAAAAAUUUGAGAAUUCCUGUUUGAGUGUUGACCCAAUAUAUAUAAAAGGAGUGGUCGAACAUCUCUAUAGAUCUCGUCAACUAAAGAUCUAAGUGAAAACAACAACAAAAAAAAAACAUUAUCAAAGUUAAUAUCUUAGAGAGCAAGUCAUAUGAUGUAACACACCGACUUUUGAAGAUUAAAUUGCGUGCGUAAAGUACUUGUGUUCAAUUAGUGAUUUUGUUCAUUUCUAUAAGUUAUGAUUUUUUGGGUAACUGGAUUUUAUGAUAUUAGACAUCUGAAGGAGCUACUAAUUAAGUAGUGGACGAUAUUUUUUCGUUAUUCAGGUAUAUACAGAGCGAUCGAGACACAAGAGUAUGUUAUGUUAUGUAUCAUUUGCGUUUUCAGUUUUCAUUUUAGGUUUUCAAUAGUUUCAAACAUGAUAAGUUAGAAAGUUUCAAACGUGCCAAAAGUUUUUUGGUACAAAAUUUAGUUUUUAAACAUGAUAGCUUCACUAAUUGUGAUAGAUUCAGAAAUUGGCUCCAAAUGUUCCUAUCUCGCGUUUCAUUUGUGUGAUUCGGCUCCUAAAAGUAGGUAUGUACUACCUUUUUAUUCAAUGUGUAUUUGCAAAAGAGGUUUGGACCUCUUUAUUCUCGUCAAGUCACAUUUCACCUCCCAUGGAUCUCUUGGACAUUUUAGUGUGGAUCAAGACUUAAGACUCCAACUAAAGAUGCGAAUCUCAAUGUUAUUUGUAAACUCUGACUACAUGCCACGGUUUAUGUAAAUUUUGACAGGCGGACGGUGUUCAACAACAUCUAGACCGUGGCUAGUCAAUCCUCGAACGCAUUCUUCUGUUCUUGGUGCAUUAUUUCAUGUAUUUUCACAUCUCGCUCUUCUGAAACACGACUUGAUUGCUCUAUUAUAUUAUGUUGCUUGUGUCACUUUACUAGAUAGUUAUUAUAAGUUCUUCGUAUUCUUAUCUUUGUAAACUAUUUUUUUUUUUUUUUGUAAAAGUUCAAAAUGUAGAUGAGAUGUCUGUGUGCUUGUGUCCGUGCAAAUAAGAAAUGUCUACACACACAAGAAAGAAAAACUCUUCAAGUCAAGUAAUAGGACAAGCUAAAUGAUGUUUCAAUACUUGUAUUACUCGUCUUUUAAAUUUUAACACCACUGGCUAGACCACAUCACAUGUAGAAGGAAUUAUGAAGUCUAAGAAAUUUUCAUGUGGAGAUGGAUAUGCCAAGUUGGAGUUUGCAAACAAGAAGCUCUUGAGCCACGACAUAAGCCAAGUUGAUGAAACAUCAUAUUGCCAAUAAUUGCAUAAAAACGUUUUUGUUGGUAUUUAAAAACAUAUAUAACUUUUAUUCAUGUAAUUUUAGGCUCAAUAACCACAAAAAAUUAACAAUUAAACAUAAGAAAUUGAUUAAAAUAUACGGUGUAUAAACAAAAUAAUAUUCAAAUAUGCCCCGAUUAAAAACAAACACAAAAUGGCAUAUAUCCACCUUCAAAAAUAGAUGAGUGAAUCUAAGUAUUCUUCAGUCUAUUUAGAACUUAAUAACAUUCUAUACUACGUAUUCUAUGUAGAAUGGCAUAUUCACCUUCAUAAAAAAAAAAAGAUAAAGAUAAUUUUGUCCCUUUUUAGUCAAAAAAUAAUCAUGUUACUCACCUAAAAUUUCUAUUUAAAGGCUAUAUUCUUAAUUUUAAUUUGUUUAUUAUAUUAAGAAUAUAACAUUUUCAAUAAUUUUGAAAAUUAUGUUACCCAUUCAUCAAUUUUGUUAGAGUUCAAUUAAGAAUAUAACAUUUUUAAAAAAAUUAGGUGAGUAACAUGAUCUAUUCAUCAAAUUUGUUAGACGAAAUUCAAACUAUUUUAGAAUUUGUCUGCACUUGAAUUUCAGGUAGACAAACUAUGCCCUACAAUGCUUCGAACCACCGAUCGCAGGUAAGUUGGAUAUUUUUUUUACUAAAAUAGAGGUUUUUUCACAACCGAUGUAUCUUCAAGUUGGCAAAAGAUUGAUAGUUUUUGUUAACAAACUUAGGAACAAAAGAAGCCACAAAGUAGACAAAUGGAGUUAAAGAUUGAAGGGGAAGAUUGAAGGGGAUGCAUUUGUCUAAGUGUGAAAGGUCUCAACUUUGAACCAUAACAUAUUACUCUGUUUUUUCUGUUUGUUCCCAAAGUACCCUUUUUCCCUUCAUACCCACUCACUCCAUUCCUCUCUCUGUCACUGAUUCAACACGUGGCCACCCAUAUGGGACCCACCAUUUCCCUUACCCACCUCCCGGUUUAUAUAAACCCUUAACACUUCCUCGCUCCUAAACCAACUCUCCCUUCUCUCUUCUCCUCUCUUUCUCCACUUCUACAAAAACAAAAAAAAAGCAAAAAACAGAGCCUUAACAAAUCGGAAAAUUGAACUCUCACUUUAAGCACCAAAUACUGAUUGCGCAAACUUAAAAAAAUGGCUUCUUUCACGGCAACGGCGUCGGUCUCUCGGAGAUGGGUCGGUGGCAAUCAUACUCAGCCGCCAUUAUCGUCUUCUCAAAGCUCCGACUUGAGUUAUUGUUGCUCCAUACCCAUGAAUAGUGGUGUCCAAAAAAAGCUCACUGUUUCUUCUGCUCUUCACACUCCUCCCGCUCUCCAUUUCCCCAAGCAAUCCUCCACCUCUCCUGCCAUUGUUGUUAAUCCCAGAGCCAAAGAAUCCGACACUAAACAGAUGAAUUUCUUCCAGAGAGCGGCGGCGGCUGCUUUGGACGCGGCGGAGAAUUUCCUCGUCAGCCACGAGCGACAACAUCCGCUACCUAAAACCGCCGAUCCUAGUGUUCAGAUCGCCGGAAAUUUCGCUCCGGUGAAUGAACAGCCCGUCCGGCGUAAUCUUCCGGUGGUCGGAAUAAUACCCGAUUCCAUCAAAGGUGUGUAUGUGCGCAACGGAGCUAAUCCGCUUCAUGAACCGGUGACUGGUCACCACUUCUUCGACGGAGACGGUAUGGUUCACGCCGUCAAAUUCGAAGACGGUUCAGCUAGCUACGCUUGCCGGUUUACUCAGACAAAUCGGUUUAUCCAGGAGCGUCAAUUGGGCCGACCGGUUUUCCCCAAGGCCAUCGGCGAGCUUCACGGUCACACCGGAAUUGCUCGACUCAUGUUAUUCUACGCCAGAGCUGCAGCCGGUAUAGUCGACCCGGCACAUGGAACCGGAGUAGCUAACGCCGGUUUGGUUUAUUUCAACGGCCGUUUAUUGGCGAUGUCGGAGGACGAUUUGCCUUACCAAGUGCAGAUCACUCAAGGUGGAGAUUUGAAAACCGUUGGCCGGUACGAUUUUGACGGGCAAUUGGAAUCCACAAUGAUCGCCCACCCGAAAGUCGACCCGGAAUCCGGCGAGCUUUUCGCUUUAAGCUACGACGUCGUUUCGAAACCUUACCUGAAGUACUUCCGAUUCUCACCGGACGGAACGAAAUCGCCGGACGUCGAGAUCCAGCUCGAUCAGCCGACGAUGAUGCACGAUUUCGCGAUCACGGAGAAAUUCGUGGUGAUACCGGACCAGCAAGUCGUUUUCAAGCUGCCGGAGAUGAUCCGCGGUGGCUCUCCGGUGGUUUACGACGAGAACAAGGUUGCGAGAUUCGGGAUUCUAGACAAAUACGCCGAGGAUUCGUCGAAAAUCAGGUGGAUUGAUGCUCCGGAUUGCUUCUGCUUCCAUCUCUGGAACGCUUGGGAGGAGCCGGAAACAGAGGAAAUCGUCGUGAUCGGGUCGUGUAUGACUCCACCGGACUCAAUUUUCAACGAGUACGACGAGAAUCUCAAGAGUGUCCUCUCUGAAAUUCGCCUGAAUCUCAAAACCGGAGAAUCCACUCGCCGUCCGAUCAUCUCCGACGGAGAACAACAAGUCAACCUCGAAGCAGGGAUGGUCAACAGAAACAUGCUCGGCCGCAAAACGAAAUUCGCUUACCUCGCUUUGGCCGAGCCCUGGCCUAAAGUCUCCGGGUUCGCUAAAGUUGAUCUCGCCACCGGAGAAGUCAAGAAACAUCUCUAUGGGGAUAACCGUUACGGUGGAGAACCUCUGUUUCUUCCCGGUGACGAGAAAAACAACGGAGGAGAAGACGACGGACACAUCCUCUGUUUCGUUCACGACGAGAAGACGUGGAAAUCGGAGUUACAGAUAGUUAACGCCGUUACUUUGGAGGUUGAAGCAACGGUUAAACUUCCGUCAAGAGUUCCGUAUGGAUUUCACGGCACAUUCAUCGGAGCCAAUGACUUGGCGCAGCAGGUGUGAAGAUUAUGUGUAUAUACACAUUCCUAUACAUAUAUAUAUAUACGUGAUGAUGAAGAAGCUUCUAGAAGAAAAAGAGAGAGGGAUUUACCAGUGGGAUGCUCUGCAUAUACGUCCCCGGAAUCUGCUCCUCUUGUGUUUUCUUUUUUUGAUUUUGCUCUGUUUCUCUGUAUUUUUUUUUCCUCUUGGGGUGCGGUUUGCUAGUUCCCUGUUUUUUGGGGUCAAUCUAGAAAUCUGAAAGAUUUUGAGGGACCAGCUUGUAGCUUUUGGGCUGUAGGGUAGCCUAGCCGUUCGAGCUCAGCUGGUUUCUGUUAUUCUUUCACUUAUUUGUUCAUAAUGAGAAGUAUAUAUAAAUAUAUUAAACACAAAACUUUGUUUAUAUAUGUCUGUAUAUGUUCUAGCAAACAUGACCAAAAUUAUAUCGGAUUUAACAAUACGCUAUGAGUUCAAUUUUAGUUUAGUCUUCUCCUUUUUUUACUUCUAGAAACGUUUUCUUGUUUGUGCCAUCAUCAAGUGAUUUUAUUGGUAAAAGUAUAUAUUUUCAAUCUUAAAUAAUGGACCAAUGAGAGACAGACAAGAGUCAAGUAAACUUUUGGACUUCAAGACAAAAUGUAAUAACCAAAUCACACGCCGUAUAAAUUUAGUUAGUCAAUUUUGGUAUUUGCAUGGAAGAGAAUCGCCAAAGUCAGUUUCAGUCAAUUUCGAAAUAGAAACCAACGAGUGAAGUUAACCCACGUCAAAAAAGAGUUAAGUAUGUAAAGGACAUCAGUAACUGGUCGUUGUCAUUAAAAAAAAAAAAACCUAUUGUUAUUUUGGUAAGCAGAACCGUAAACAUUGGAUAUCUGGAGUGAUGGGUGGUAACACAGUGGAGAGACCAAUCAAAAAUAGUGGAAUUGUGACGAAAUUAACGGCACUAUUUUUAUAUAAUACAUAGCAACGCAUUUGUUGCUUUUUCUUAUAUAUAUAUUUCUAAUGUUGUUUUUAAGAUGCAAAACUUAAUCUGAUAGGGUGAUCUAUGAAUGUUGGGUGUAAAAAUAAUUAAAUACGUAAACAAAGAAAGCAAAGUCAACUAUCGGAAAGAGUGUUUCGGUGUUUUGAGAUUAUGACAUUUCCAAAGUAAUUGGUUUGCAAUGAUUCACAUUUGUUAUCAUUUAUCAACUCUAGUUAAGGAAGAGUAACCUUAUGUUGCUUGUAUUGAUUUAAAACCUGGUAAGUUUUACGUACACGUUAGUCAUCGAUCGUAUUGAUCUACCUAAACAAUUUGUUGUCAAAGUGUUAAUAACGACUAUACGUAUUUGAACACAACACCCAUAUAUAACAACCCUUCAAUUACUACUCCAUGUUUAUUUCGAAACAUUGAGGGUUGAAAUUUUGAAUUUUUUUUUUGUUAUAAUUACCAAAGAAACUUUUCUACGUAUUGUCUGCUGUAUGUGUGUGUGUGUGUACAUAUAGGAUAAGGGAAAUAGUUAAUUGUGUAUGGUGUGCAAACUGCAAAAGAAGCACAAACUGAACAUUCCAUAGUUAAUGCUAAAGGAUCAAAAGCACAUUACUUCACUUUCAUAAUUACACGAAAAUAUCUCCUUAAAAAAAAAAUCUUAACAUGUUUACCAAAAAAAAAUCUCCUUUUUUUUGUCAACACACGAAAAUAUCUCAAACACCAAAAAGUGUUAAAACAGAGGUCAUAACAUGAUUUUGAAAGAAAAAAAAUGUCAAAAAGAAGUAUUAAUAUUUGGCCAACUUGGAGAUAUCUUCAUAUAUGGUGGAUUUUUAAUUUGUUUGUUUGUUCACGUUCUCUUCCAAUACACUAGAAACCCACUAAAUAACUUUCUUAUUGGAUACUAAUCGUAGUAUAUAUAUACACUGUGUUUAGGUUUUUAGAGACUACUUCACGUAUAAAGAUAUGAAAUCGAAAAUUAGUUUUUGAUUUCUUUCAGGGUUUAUUGUAACUACAAAAUAUUAUGAAGUAAGCCGAAGAAUUAUAAUAGAUAUAUAAUACAAAUAUAAUAUGUUCCUGACUGAAAGACUUUUAAGAUUUAACGGUUAAGAAUGAAGGUUUGAACAAAAUUGGGUCUUCUAACCACUAUUUCGAUCAUAAAUAGUUACUAUGGAUGCUUGAAAUGACAAACAUAUUCAAAUAUUCAAUAUAUUUUAGUGUGUAAUUUGGGUUUCGGUGUGAGGUUUCCUGGUUAUAAAAAAAAUUAUUAGAAAAACUUGGUUAAUGUAAAGUUUUUUUUUUGCUUACAAUUACGUGAUCUAUAUUUUAUAAAUAAUAUGGAAAGCGAUCGUUUGUGUGUGUGUUCUUUUUUUGUUUGUUUUACAUUCGUGUUUAUUAUUUAUACACAAGCGUCUUACAGUAUAUAGUUAUACACGCCUCCAGUGUCGAGUAUCAUCCUUUAUGUUGAUAUUCGAAAAGUUUUAGGUAAUAAUAUCUUUAAAAUAAAUAACAGUUGUGAAAGUUCGUUGGAUGCAAACAUAUAAUCAGAAAAAGAUUCAUUGGAUACGGCGAAAUAAUUGAUUCAAACAAAAAACAAAAAAAAUAAAGGAUACGACGAAAUGUGUGGGUUGCAUUGGCAUUACAAUACUUAAACAUUUGAUUUCGGCCGUCCACGUUUCAGUGUCAAUAAUGUUAUAAUAUACAAAUAUAUAUAUGUGAGGGAAUCUGUUGAAGCCAACAAUUAGAUGUUUACUAUUUGCCCAAAGUAGAAGGUGACUUUUUCCCCACCUAAUUCAAGCCUAACUACUUUCCUUUAGUGGAAGGUUGGCACUUACGAAUUCUAUUUAUCUAUUGGCAGUUACUACUUACUCUUACCUUAUUUAGUCAGCGAAAUCCGCCAUUGUGAUUCGCAGAACCUCUUUUUCCUAAAGAAUUCGCAAGACGAUAUGCUAACAUGUGAUUCUUAUAUAAAAAUAAUUUUGAUAUAUAUUAUAUAUAUUUAAAGGUUACAUAUAGACUACAUGUGGUAGGUAUCGUAAGGUUCUUCAUAGCAAAUAUGUGUGCUUUAAUAUUAUUCCCAUAACGGUAGAUUUUGUAUCUAUCCUAGUAUGGCGAAGGCGGACCUUUCCAUAAUGAUAUGGUCCAAUUGUGGAUAACAAAUAAUUUAGCUCAAAAUAAAUGGAUGUAAAGUUAUUUCUUACCAUCGUGAAAAUUGAUAAUGGAAUAGCGGAACUACGAACGGACACUUGUAUCAUUGGAAAAAAGUAUACGAAAAAAUCACAAUCAUUUUAGCAUUUUCUACGAAUUAUCAAUCAAACCGCAGUACAGUAUCUAGUAAAUUAGUAACUGCCGUUAAGUACCUAUCCCAAAAUAAUGCUUCGAAGGCCAUAAAGUAUAAAAAGUUAAAAACUGUAUCUCUCUCUCUCUCUCUUUCUCUCUCUCCUCUUUUGUUUUCUAAUUUCUACCUUAUUUGUUCACUCUUGUGACCUGGCCAUUGACUAGUUUUGCGGCGCUUUAUUUGGCUUUUCCUCGAAUGGGAGAGACCACAACAAAUAAUGUUAGGAGUUUAAUGUUCUUCUCGAAAUAUUAAAAUGUAUGUUCCUCUUGAUUAUAAAAUAAUGAAAACAUUUUGUAACGAUCGAAAAAUGAAAGUCAUGCAAACAAGUGUUAGCGAAAAUGACGAAAUACCAAAGUUAUAUGAUUUUUUCUUGCAAUACAGCAAAACACAAAAAAUAAGAUAUAUUACAUAUUACAUAUGCAAUCUUAGUGAAAAACGAUUAUGGAUACAAACCAAACAUCAAACAAUUAUAUAAUGUUGUUUUGUCAAUUUCGGAUUUCUAUAAGUUAUAUAUACCUCUUUUUUUUUGCUUUGAGAUAUUAUCAUGGCUAUCUAACCAAUAAAGCAUCAAAUGAUUGAUCAACGAAAUGUCGAAGGAUAUUCUCAUUGACAAUAUGUGUCGUAUUAUAUAUUAUACAUGUCGGUAUAAAUUUUUUUGGUAUGGAGCCGAACCACGUGGCAAAUGACUACAUAUGCUAAUUACGAUCAGCCAUUGAACUAAAACUACGAAAUGCUAGCUAUAGUAUAUUGGAAUAGAUCCAAAUGUACAAAUAAAUAAUAACAUAAUAAAUAGUGGCAAAAAAUAUUGAGGGGACUAUGCUUUCAGCUACUUGACUUUUAAUAAUCAAAGUGUAGACAGCAUUCUAGUAAACUAUUAGUUAUUACUGAACUUUUACAUGUGUUUCUAUAUUGGGAAGUCAAAACAAAAGGAUGAUUCAUUGACGGUAGCGGAUACACAAACAUGUAUUUACGUGUAUAAAUUUGUGUGUACAUAUAUAUUAUACGUUUAAAAUUGAAAAAUAUGUGAGUAUAAGUUAUACACUCGAAUUGUGGUGUGUAUAUAUAUAUAUAUGUUUGUAUAAUUGAUAUAGCCACCUUGUAUAAAUACAUAUACAUGUUUAUAUAAUUGAUAUAGCCACCCAAAGCCCAAAGGUCCCUAACUAACUUUGUCGAAUUAUCAAAAGAAAUAGGGGUUUAGGGUUUUAGGAGUGUUAUGUCGUCAAAUAUAUCGAAUCUGGGUUUUUCGGUAAAUCACCACUACCUCUCAAACGUAUAACACAUCUACAUGUCCAAUAUAUAUAUAUAUUUUUAAAAUCUCUCUCUCAAGUCUCAAAGUUACCUACUAAUUAAAUAAGUCUUCGUCAUUUUCUAAUUUUGGACUCCUUAAAACUAGCAAGUCCAAUGAGAGUACUGGAAUUUAUUUACGUGUUAUAUGAUAUUUUUUUUUCCAUUUGCUUACUACUGCUACGAUUGUCGUCGAUAUAUACAAAUUACUUGAUCUUGCCUCCAGUAGAUGAUGGUUAUCGUUGGGGCACGUGUUCGUAAGCAUAAGAUCGUUGUUGUGGAUAAAAUCGAGAAAUGAUUAUUGCAAGAAAGAGCGAAUAAAAUUUUGAAAUGUGAAAGAAUGGGGGAGAGUGACGUAUAAGAUGAUGUAUACCACUAUAAUCGUGCCUCAUAUAUUAUAAAAUAUAAACGCUAACAAUGCACGCCACAUUACUUAAACCUCCAAAACGUUAAGCAUAUAUAACUAUAUGUAUAUGAGGAAAAAAAAAAUUAUAUAUAACUAUAUGUAUACUCACGAUCUCAACUAACUAGUAACUACCAUAUAUUAGUGUCAUCGAUCUAAUAAUAUAGAUUCGAAUUUUACUUGGAUCAUUAUAAACUAAUCGAUUCGUUUGUAUAUUUGAUGCUGAAUAUAUACAUUAUUUAUAGAUACAUACAGUUAAAGCUCCCCAGAAAGGAACCAACAGCAUUAAACAGCUGGGGGAUUUUGUGUUGUGUGGAGGUCGACCUUUCAGCGUUAAGAUAGGCCAAUCAUGUUUUUUCCUUUUUAAAAUUUUUGAUGUUAUUUAAUAUUAUUAAUUUACUAGUAUUUAUUUAAUUAUACUACUACUAUAGUACAAUCUUCUUUUGUUCGACUGAGUAUAGUACAAUUUUUUAAUAAGUUAUUAUCUCACUCUUUAACAUCCGUCAUAAUUUUUGAAUGUUCACGUGAGGAUCACACAUACACUGAUUAAGAUGUUACCCAUUAUCCUUUCUAUAGGUUGUUGCUAUAAUUUUAUCGAAAUCGAUCAUAGUUAGAAAACAAAACUAACACUAUAGUUCUUGGUUUGAUUUAGUUCGAUUCGUUUCUGCACUUAAGAAAUACAAUUUUGUAGGCGCGCAAUUUCCUUUCAACACAAAGACCAACACAAUGUUGCUCUAUAAUUUACACAAACAAUGUUGCAAACUAACACCUCAGGCAAUUCGAUUAUGAGAUUCGCUCCACUAAUUAUAAUAAAAUUAGGCCUGUCAAUAAUAUAAUUAGUUGAAAAAUACUUAUUCGCAUUGCCAAUAGUUUGUAUUGAGAUACAAAAUCUAAUGAAUGUGAUUAGAUAAAUUAGUGACCUAAUAAUUUGUUCGAUUGGAAGAACAUUCGUCAUGUAGGUCUAGGACAUGGAACGAGUUCCACCAUCUACAAAAUCGUCAUAAUCCCAUCUUUUUGUUAUUAGAGAUAUCUAAAAUAACAAAAGAUUAUCCAACUUCUACAAAAAAAUUAAAAAUUAGUUUUGUCAGCCCAAGACUUACCGGUUACACACACAAAGAAAACAAACAUAUGAAUGUGAUAUAAACUUGGAUAUACCUAUGUUUCAAAUCCUUAUCCAAGAUAUUAUUAAUUAGCUUAUAUAUCUUGCAAUAUCGCGACAAAAAGGUCUCACGCCUGACANNNNNNNNNNNNNNNNNNNNNNNNNNNNNNNNNNNNNNNNNNNNNNNNNNNNNNNNNNNNNNNNNNNNNNNNNNNNNNNNNNNNNNNNNNNNNNNNNNNNAUCUGUCUGGAGGCAGCACAAUGGACCGCUUAAGAUGAUACGAAAACUUAGCACAUGAUUGAAAGCCACAAAAUGGAUAAAGGAGACCGAUUUUCAUUUAUUUCCUAUUUAUUUUAUUUGGUUUUCGGUAUUUAACUUAAAAAUCAAUAUGCUUUUUCAAUCAUCAUCGUCAUAUUCCCGAAAGAGAUAAAAUGUCGAAAUCAGCCACGCGCAAAAACCUCUGGACGUAUUAGAGGUUUGGAAGGCCGAGAAGGACACAACCACGUGACCGUCAACGUAACCCACACAAACCCAGUCUCAUAGGGCACUCACUGAUUAAAAAGUAGUAGUAUUAGAAGAAGAAGAACACACCCUCUUUCUUCAACAUUCUCUCAUCUCUUUAAUGACAUGAAAACGAUGCUUCUUCUUAUAUGACCCACUUCGAAAUUGAUACCGAAAUUGGAAAAUCUGAUAAGUUCAAGAGAACAAAGAAUAAAGCAAAAGGCUGCUAAAUCAACGCGCCACCAUAUUGGAACUGCACAAAUAAAAUUUUAUGCUAAUGAAACAAUAAGACUGCCAAAUCAAAUCCGCCGCCAUCCAAGUGAAGAAUUAUGUGAGAUGAUCAACUAAUGCAACACAGGGAACAUGAUGCAUCAUCCUUUAACCUAUCAAGUUGCAAACUUUAGAGAAGAUAAAACCCAAAACCAAAGAUAGGAAAACGUUUCAGCUAUAAUCAGAUAUGACUUAAUUAUUGACACAGACCUGCAACCGAUGUUAGAAAGAGUUCCAACAUUCCAGAGCAGUGCAUAAGAGGAAAGCCAUGGCUAUAGUUAAAAACUUAAAAAUCCCUUCUUGAACAGCUUAUCGAGCAGGAACCACAAUAUUUUAAGGUCUUAGUACAAUAAUGGACAUGGAUAAUAAACCAACUAAAUCUGAGAAACUAAUUCUUUCACAAAGGUUUGCAAUUUAGAAUAUCUCAUUACAUUAAAAGGAUCUAUAAAGGUAAAGAUUGAGAAUUUCUGAAGAACUAACUGAUCAAAGUUCAAAAAGACCAUAGCUCAUAUCAGGCAAUCACUCCACAAACAGAGAAGUUUCAAAGAAACCAAACCUAAUAAAGCCUAUUGUUUUUCUUCUUCGAAGUAACAGUCGUCAUUUCGGGUUUCGGAUACUUCUCUGCUAAGAUUGGAUCUAACCACUUGAGGGGAUGACGAUUGAAGAAAGGCCAGUUAGGGACAGUGAUCAUAGUCGUGAAAAGCACAACUCCGGAAUAUAUCAGCAUCAUCGUCCGGAACGAAGACGUUGCAUACCCAGCAAUGAAAGCAACUCCGCCAAAGACUAAGAGCAGAAUCUGCAUCAGCUCCUCAGCUAGCUUUUGCCCUUGCCAAUCCAUCUCUAUAAUUUGAAAAAGUCACCACAAGUUUCCAUAAAAUCAGAACCCUUGAUUGAAUUUUUGCAAAUCAGAAACCCAUUAUGAAAAUGCUAAUUCCUAGCCUAAAGGACACCUUAAUUACGUCUACAAUGAACACUAACUUCGAGCACAUUUCCCAUUUCUAAACUAAUUAGCAAAGAUCGAGUCUCAAUUUAAUUCGUACCUGCAAAAAGGAUCAAACUUGAUCGCCUAGGAAGAAUCGCGUCCGGAAAAACUAGAUCCCAAGCCGGCAAAUGGAGUCAAGACGAAGCCGGCGAAUAUCGACUGUCCAGAUUCGCCGUUGUCUUCAAACCAACGGCCUAGAUUCUACCAAGUCGUAAAAACGUUCUAUAAAAACAUACCGUGCUAAACGCCUUGCUGUUUCUAUGUUCCGUAUCGAAAACUUGCAGUCUGUCAUAACACACAAUGAACACCGUGUCGUUUCUCGAAUCCUCGGUUAUUAGGCUCUGAUGAUAUAUCGGGCUCAUAAACAUAACGGCCCAGUUUCUCAUAAGUUAUAGAAAGGCUUUAGAUACAAAGCAAAGCAAACAUUUUCUUUUUCGUCGACGGAUAACAAACUCGCCGGAAAGACUCGGGAGAGAGAGCGAACGACGGUGGUCCGUUAUCAAAGUGGGCGGGAAGGUUUGUUGAAGAUGAUCGGCCGUCGUGCUGGAAUGAAUCGAGUUGUUAUGAGGAGGGAUGACUCCUUUCUGACUCGUUUUGUUGACUCAGUAUUCUAUUUCUUCCGAUUGGCUGAGUUUGAGAUCCUGUUUGUUCUGUUCAUCUUAAUAACCUACGUCAUCUUCAAAGAUCUGGUGAUUUCUCCCCAAAUUCGUAGAAUUUUUUUCAGUAUCAUGACGAUUUCGUAGUAAUUUCUCUCAUGUUGAUUGCUCCUCUGAACGGUUUUGUUAUUUUUGCAGACGGCGAGGCCGGAGUACAAUCGGAUUCUUGUGGAUAAACCCGGUGGAUCUGACGUCUGGCCGUUCUAAAAAUGAAGAAAAAAUAGGAAUUUUGUUUUGAAUGGUUAGUACUACUCUUGUUACUGUAAAACGGUGUGAGCUUGUACACGGCAAUGAACAGCUUAUCUUUCUUCUCUUGUACAUGUCUUUGUUCAAUUGGUCAGUGUAAUUCUCCUUCCAUAGUUAUAAUGCAUCGUUUUCGUCAAAUUCGUGAUCUCGCUCGGAAUGUUAAUCUUUGGGAAUCACAAGUAACUGAUUAGUGGGGAUAAGUAAAUGGAAUUUAGCAUCUGUGUUUCAGUUGAGCUCAAUCUACGCAUUAGGAGGUGAUGAGAUAGUUUCAUGGUUAAGUAGAGUAUGCGUUUUUGUUUCAUAUCACAGAGACUUAUCUAUGUUGUUUAAGCAAGAAUAAUGGACUGAAGGAAGAAUAACCCAAAUAGCAUUACAGAAUCUCUAGGCAUAGUUUGUGAUUCGAUAUAGGGAGAAACAAGUCUUGAGAUAAAUAGCAGAGUAGAAGCCAGUUGACCAAUCAGAAAAUGAAUAUGUUUAGCCAUUACAUGCUCUGUAUUGUUGCUGGUUGUUGACGUUCCCUGGUUGUUUUGGUCUCUCUAUAACCUGGCCAAAGGGCGUGGAGUGUCCCAUUCGGUGGUAAUAUGGUUACGGGUGAUUUCCUUGAGAGACCGGCAGCCACUUAGUGCCAUGGUCAGCUCGAACUCAUCACGUAGCAUUUGAAGCACCUUUCUCACUCCAGCCUCUCCUUCAGCAGCCAGUGAGAAUACCACUGGUCUCCCAAUCUGAGAUUGAGAGGGCAAUUAUCAAUAAUGUGACAGUUGUCAAUGGUUUCAAUCAGUGUAAAUGGAAAUAUGAUGCUUACAAAUAUCCCUGAGGCUCCAAGUGCAAGUGCCUUGAAGACAUCAGUGCCACGUCGAACACCACCAUCCAAGAAGACAGGAAUUCGUCCUUGUGUCGCCUUGACAACCUGUACACACGAGAACAGUACUGCUGAAUUUGCUGACCAGAAACACUUUCAUGAGAACACAAAUUGACUUUCAUAGUCCAGAAUGAUCCUACCUCUUCCAGGGCUGAGAUAGUAGCUGGCACAUAGUCAAGCUGGCGAGCUCCAUGGUUUGACACAAUGAUUCCUGCUGCUCCAGCUUGAACCGCUAACCUUGCUGCAAGAGGAUAUUUAUAGUUGACUUAGUUAGUUAUUUAUCAAAAUUAAGUGAAGGAAACUUUUGUCUGUCAGAUAGUAACUCACCAUCCUCUCCCGUAAUAACACCUUUGACAAGAAUUGGCAUUUUGGUGAUUGUCUGGAGCCACUGGACGUCCUGGUUUUGUAUAAAUGAAAGUUAGAGCAGUCAGAAUCAAGUUUCAGUUCUGGUUUGUUGUUUUUCUUUUAAGCUGUUGAACUCUCUUACCUUCCAGCUUAAGGUACGGUCAAUUUGACCAGCAACAUAUGAAGCCAAGCCAGAGUCAUUGGCCUGCACGUGGACACAUAGGAACGUUUAGGAAACAUAAACAUAACAAGUCUGCUUCAAAACUUGUUUUGUGACAAUCAUGCUCAGACUAUAAUGCUAGAUAAGUAUCUGAUAGAUGCUUACCUCAUCCAUCUUUCCGAGGUCAAGACCUUCAAAAUUCUUCAAUGUCAGGUUUGGAGGCAAAGUGAAUCUGUAGUAGAAGAAAGCACAUCGUUACUCUAUAAUUUCUAGCUAUCUGUUUGCAUGUUCGAAUCAAAUCAAGCUCUUGUCACAUUUCAUUGACAUGGCUUCACCUGUUCUUGAUAUCAGACUCUCUGCGGCCUAGCCUUGGGGUGUCUACAGUGAGAGCAAUAGCUUUGAACCCAGCCCUUUCAGCUCUUCUCACGAGCUGCUCAACAACAUUCCUGUUCUUGUAUACCUACUCAGAACAAUCAUAACGUGUGAACCAUCAAGUCUGACCAGGUUUAUCAGGAUGUACGACAAGCGACUGAGAUAACUUACAUAGAGCUGGAAAAAUCGAAUCCCUGGUCCUGUGGAAGCAACUUCUUCAACACUGGAAGUAGCCCAUGAAGAUAGUGUCUGAAAGCAUCACGGAAAUACUCAAACCAGAGACAUGGGGUAUGCGUGGAUAUUGGAUUAAGAAGCUCUAAACACCUGAAAGUUUAAGUAUCUUUGCUUAAGAUGAAAUCUUUCGUAAUAAAAUAAUAACAUACCAUGAUGGUUCCAGCUGCAGACGCAGCUCUAGCCGUAGCAUAUUCCCCUGCAUUAGUUUCCAGUAGAGUCUUUAGAACAAGGCCUUAGUCUUUUGGUUUUAGCGGUGCUCAAAAAAGUUUUCACUAUCUACUUAACCAAGUUUCUACAGAAUGUUUCGCUUCUCGCCAGAGUGUUUUGCAGGAAAAGGCAGAAGUCAUUUACCUUCCGGGUGAGCCAUCUUUUGCAUGGCAGUAGGAGCAACCAUGAUCGGCAUCGAGAUCUUGAACCCCAAGACGGUUGUUGUCAUAUCAAUCUUGCUCACAUCAAUCAGAAUCCGAGGCCGAAAGCUGUUAAACAUCCCAAGUUAUGUAUACCAAAUAACAACGUGUUCUCAUGUCUUAAGAAAAAAAAAAGAAGAAAGAAAGAAGAAGAACUCACAGGAUCCUUGCGAAAGCGUUUCUGUUCUCUUGAAGAGUCCAUUGGUCUUCUGCGCCAGAGGCAUAGUAGUCGUAUACCAUCUUAGGCAACUUCUGCUUUGCGAUAGCUUCAUACUCGGUAACGUUUGUGAUCUCCAUUUUCCGAUGCUGGUCUGUCAAAAGAGCAAAAAGGCCUGAGUUAAUAAGUUAGCUGUAGUGAAACUCAAGAGAUAGUGCACGAACGCAAAACACAAUCUGGUUUGUUGUUAGUCUUAACACACAGAAUCUCACACACCUUUGAUGGGGAUGGAGCUCUCGGGAGAGAUGAAGGGUGUGACUGGUAACGCUUAUAUUAUCAUAUAUCUCACAAUGUUUUAUUAUUGGUUAAAAGUUAAAUACACCUGUAAUGUAUUAAUUGGCUUGUGAAAUAUAUUUUCUAACAAGUGAAAAUUGUUGGCAGAGGAAAAAUAAUAUGGAUGAGAAGCUGAAGGUGAAGAAUGGAUGAGAAGAUACGGACAAGGAUCAGAUGGGGUUGUGUGUAUCUAAUUCACUAGCAACUUGUGUGUUCCCUAAAUUUUCUUUCAUAUUAUCGUGCUUAAUCUCAUGGGGAGAAAAAAAAAAAAAUCGUAAACCAAUUGGUUUUCAUUCUUUUGAAAGGACAUAAAUAAAUCCGAGUGGAUGAUGAUAUGGAAGAGAAACUAAAAAGCGUGCGAGGAAGAAGAGCCGGAUUUUACAGGCCUAGUUAUAAACCUUAAAGCCCAAAUACUAUUGGGCUUAACAAUGGGAGAAAGAGUCCAUAAUUUGUUGAUGCAGAUAAUCAAAGUAUAGUCGUUUCUGUGAGUGUGCCCGUGUUAAAUAUUUAAGCUGUUGUUUUGAUUGAGAAGAUGGAAAAUGCUCAGUGAAGAAGAGCACGAAAAGGGGGAAAAAGAAAAACAGAGACAGAGUCCAUAACUUUUAUACAUUUAUCGAUUUCAAUGGCGGACCGGAGCAGGGGCUUUCUGAGAUGAUUUUUGGGACAUGUGCUCUUACAUUCUUCUCUAUAUCGCCAUUUCAACCGGUCAAAUCUCUUAUUCAGUAAGGUUUCACUUAAAAUUUCACAGCUUCUCUGUAUCUACGUUCUCGCAUCGUUUUGUUCUGUGCACUUUCGAUUUGUGAACCGAUCUCUAGUUGUCUCUAUUGUAUAAGUAAGAAGAUUGUACUGAAGGUAGAAGUAGCCAAAUAGCAUUACAGAGAGAAUCUGUAGUCAUGUUUUGUGAUUUUCGAUAUAGCGAGAGAAACAAGUUUUGAGAUAAAAAAGGAAAAAAAGCAGAGUUUAAGCCAAGUAUGAAGUGAGCAAUGAUAAGAAUAAAGUGUAGCCAUUACAUGCCCUGUCUUGUUGCUGUUCUCUGGUGGUUGUUUCUUUUCUUUCCUCUACAACCUGGGCAAAUGGCGCGGCGUGUCCCAUUCGGUGACAAUGUGGUUGCGCGU